rnacentral:lncRNA from 1 species
UACAGACCUAUUUACAUAGGCAGUUUUUAAUUCUGGCCGUACAAAUUUACAACACAGGUGCAUUAAUUUUGCCCCGCCAUCUUAGAGCAUCUGUGUACUAAUGGUUUCAACAUUAUUACAUAUAAUACAUGCAAGAUUGUUGUAAUAAAUGCAGUACCACAUUUUCAUUAUUUUAUUUAUUUAUUUUUUUGUCUUGCUAACCAUAACAGUGUUUCAUGUAAAAACAUUAAAGGUGUUAGCAACACUCGAUGGUAAAUAGAAAAAAAUCGUCAAACAUCAUCUAAGCUUGCACUAGUACAGGGAAGGGCUUUAGCCCCGGGCCGUAAGCGCCUUUAGUCCCGGCUACGGAACCGGGGCUAAGGUUUCGGGACUAAAUGUCCCACCUUUAGUCCCGGUUCCGUGGACCGGGACUAAAGGUCCACCUUUAGUCCCGGUUGGUAACAGAAACCGGGACUAAAAGGUGCGCCAGGGUGUGCCACCUGGCCUCCACUUUUAGUCCCGGUUGUUGUUACGACUAAAGACUUUUUUUCUUUUUUCUUUUUCUUUUCAUUUGGUUUUCCAUUUAGGGUUUACAAUUAUGUUAUUGUUAUUUUCGAAUGCGUAUUGUUUGCUGGUAGUUUAUGGAACGCACACCUAUAUAAUUUAUAUAAUUUAAAGGAUUACAUAUAAAUAUACUAUAAAACACUAUAUAUAUAUAUAAAUAAUUAUAUCUAUAGGUCCAUAAUAAAAUAUUUACACAUAUGCUUCACGGACAAAGUAUUUACAACACAAUUUUUCUCCACCACUCAAGCAUCGUACAAAUGAUCAUCGUUAUUUGGUUUCAUCUGCUCCUGAGGGUUGAAAUAGCACUCGCCGCCGGAAUCUAGGACUUGGUCAUUAAGAAAUCCUGCGAUUGUCUCCUGAAUUCCUUUUAGGCACACCGCAUCCAACACCUGCUCCUUCAGCCACAUCUCCUUUAAUAGACAUUAAAGAAAAAAGUUAGAGGUAUGAAUAGGAUUUAUUAAAUAGCAACAAAUAAAUGAAAUAUACUUAUUAUAUAUACAUGUUACAUACUUUUAGGUGCUCAAGAUUAGUUCUUUUGGCAUACACCGGCAUAAACUCGCACACAUAGUAGCCACACAAAUUGUUGCCCGGUGUCUGCCGUAGAACCCACUGAAGUAAGAUGGGCUUUGAAAGUGAUGCAUUCAACUCUGGACGGUGUUUCUGCACGAACCCAGCCCAAACCCUAGCAAU